rnacentral:rRNA from 1 species
AACGCGUGGCAACGUGCCCUUCCCUACGGAAUAGAAAUUAUUCACGGGGGUUUUGCUGAUACUUCCUUACUAGGGGGACAUAACGCCUGUGAACGAGUUGCCCACUCCUGUCUAAACAGUUGGCGGCUUUACGGCCUACCUCCCCUACGAUCCUUUGCUGGUUUGAGAGGAUGAUCAUGUACCCUGGGACUGAUCCCCGACUUAGACUUUUACGGGAGGCAGCACGGGCCAAUCUUCCACAAUGGGGGCAACCCUUGUCUACUUAUGCUGCGUGAGUGAUGCUGCCCUAGGGUCGUAAAGUUCUUUUCCAGGGAAGAUAAUGACGGUACCUGGAGAAGAAACCUCGGCUAACUCCGUGCCCGCCGCCGCGGUAAUACGGAGGGGGUUAGCGUUGUUCGGAAUUACUGGGCGUAAAGCGCGCGUAGGCAGACUGUUAAGUUAGGGGUGAAAUCCCGGGGCUCUACCCCGGAACUGCCCUUGAUACUGGCAGUCUCUAGUUCCAGAGAGGUGAGUGGAACUCCUAGUGUAGACGUGAAAUUCGUAGAUAUUCAGAAGAACACUAGUGGCGAAUGCGUCUCACUGGCUCGAUACUGACUCUGAGGUGCGAAAAUGUGGGGAGCAAACAGGAUUAGAUACCCUGCUAGUCCACACCGUAAACGAUGAAUGCCUGACGUC